UACGGAGGGUGCAAGCGUUAUCCGGAUUCACUGGGUUUAAAGGGUGCGUAGGUGGGCAGUUAAGUCAGUGGUGAAAUCUCCGGGCUCAACCCGGAAACUGCCAUUGAUACUAUCUGUCUUGAAUAUCGUUGAGGUAAGCGGAAUAUGUCAUGUAGCGGUGAAAUGCGUAGAUAUCGAGAGGAACACCAGUGGCGAAGGCGGCUUCCUGGUCCAGCACCGACAUUCAGGCACGAAAGCGUGGGGAGCAAACAGG
rnacentral:rRNA from 1 species